UUCUGGUUACAAAAAAAAUAGAUACUGUGAGACGAGAAACUAAGCAUACAGGAUGCUUUACAUUUCUCUCGAAACAACCACCGGAAUCUUGGUCCAUAAGUAAUCUGAAUACCUGUGGUGCUCUUUGAUACAGAAGAAAGCUUCAUUCAUGUCAGUUCUUAUAAAAUGUCCUGGGAGGAAGCUCUGGAUUACUGCAACAGCAACUUUUCUGGACUACUGCGCAUCGAGUCUCAGGAUGAUCAGAUAGAAACAGAGUGAGAGCUCAAAAGAUCUAAAAAUAAUAUUUCAGAGCCUGUGUGGGUGGGGCUUAGACAGAGCCGACUUUUCGGAUUCACUAGACACUAGUUGGUAUUGCUGUACUUAGUGUUUCUGUUGCCUUUUUCAUGUUUAUCUCAUUGAUUGAUUCAUUUUAUUAUUUUGCUGUAAACCUUUAUGCCUCAUACCAAGAAUUAACAUUAAAAGUUUUUCAUGAACGUUA